rnacentral:lncRNA from 1 species
UUUAAGCAGCAUAUGAAAUCCAAUAGAGUUUUGCAGGGUGUUCUAACAUUUAACUUUAACUUUUAAGAGAUAAUGAGAAGAAGUCUUCUGAGAGAAGUCUCCUGCUUAACUCAAGCUAUGGAACAUUGAGCUACUGCUGUAAAAAUCAAAGAACCGAAGAAAUCAAAACAGUCAGGUUGUCCACAUGCUACCACCAUAACACUGAGACACAACCAGUACAGGUCAGCUGGGAUCAACCUGAAAUUACUGCCAAUAUAGGAUGCUCCUAUAGCCAAUGCCUCCUGCUUCCUAUACCAGAUUGGUCAGGUUCAAUACACAGCCCAAGAUGAAUUUGAAAACACAGACUUUUGAUGACUACCUUAAACCAGCAAAAGUGUGUCUGUUUACAGGACAGAAUAUGAGAAUGAUCCAGCACCAGACAGUGUGGAUUGAAGAGGAUACCUGAACCAGUUUACUGUCAAGAAGGCUGUGUCAUCACAGACCUCCAGUGAACCAACAGUUGCACCCUGAAACCAGAUGUACAUAUUGUAAUUAUAAAAUAUCAGCUCUCGGUUCAUUGUGGAUGUGGAAACGUAAUGCAGUAGGCCUGGAAAAGGUAAGAAUUUGUAUGUUAGCUUAUGUUUUUGUUAGGUUAUGUUAUUAAUUUGAUUGUUCAUUGUUUAUUUGAAUGUACUUCAGAGCAUAUUCCUUCCUUAUUUUGGUAACUCAC